rnacentral:rRNA from 1 species
GAUGAACGCUGGCGGCGUGCCUAAUACAUGCAAGUCGAGCGAACGGACGAGAAGCUUGCUUCUCUGAUGUUAGCGGCGGACGGGUGAGUAACACGUGGAUAACCUACCUAUAAGACUGGGAUAACUUCGGGAAACCGUAGCUAAUACCGGAUAAUAUUUUGAACCGCAUGGUUCAAAAGUGAAAGACGGUCUUGCUGUCACUUAUAGAUGGAUCCGCGCUGCAUUAGCUAGUUGGUAAGGUAACGGCUUACCAAGGCAACGAUGCAUAGCCGACCUGAGAGGGUGAUCGGCCACACUGGAACUGAGACACGGUCCAGACUCCUACGGGAGGCAGCAGUAGGGAAUCCUCCGCAAUGGGCGAAAGCCUGACGGAGCAACGACGCGUGAGUGAUGAAGGUCUUCGGAUCGUAAAACUCUGUUAUUAGGGAAGAACAUAUGUGUAAGUAACUGUGCACAUCUUGACGGUACCUAAUCAGAAAGCCACGGCUAACUACGUG